rnacentral:lncRNA from 1 species
UGGUCUUGCUGCUUCAUGUAUGAUAUCCAUGAUCUCCAAUGCCAACAAACUGAGCAAGUAUUUCAUUUGUCUAGUCAAUCAAGGAAAGUCGACUGAUGAUCAGGCAUGACAAGCUAACAACACAGUGGAAAUCAGGCCAAGGAGCUAGAAAAUAAUGAAAAAUAAGAAAGCUGAUGAGCACUUAAAAUAUAUUCCCAUACUGUUGUUGAUAGCAAUAAAGAAGUUUACAAGGGAUUGAAACACAGAAUACUGUGAGUUCAAAAUUGGAGUCCUGAUUUUGGACCAAUAUCAUCAUUUGUCUGCUUCAAAAAUUUUGUAUCUUCCUGCUCAGCUCUAUUGCAGCUUCAAUCUUCCCAAAGUUUUCCUUGAACAGCUGUGAGUCCAUUCAGUUGGAUGAUCAAGCAUAGACUCAUCUUCAUCUUGAGUCAGCAGCGAGUUUUGAAAUGAGGAGGUUUCGGAUCCAAGAUCCACUUCAUUAUUGUUCCUUUACACACUCAGGCGGGAAGUGAGAUCAAGGAAGGUGUCUUUGCUGCAAGGAAUUGUGAGACCACCCAUUGGAUGAUCGUAUCCAAAUUCUUCUUCAGCUUGACUCAGCAAAUCCAGGAACAGAGGCUGGUUCAAAUAUGAUACUGGGAUUACAAAUCUCUUCAUCUGUUUCUUCCCAACAUAGACUGCGAGAUAACCUUUCGGGACAUCUAAGGUCUUAGCAGCAGAUAGAGGUUGAAUAAGACUUUUCUUGGUGUUAACAAUUCCAGGCAACCGGAAUCCCAUGGUUUUUAUAUGAGUUGAAGAAAGCGGAAAAGAGUUAUAAGGACUUGGGAAACAGAGAAGGUUUUGAAUUCAAGGCAAGGAGAAUACUUGACUUCCUUAUCUCAAAUAAUCGGUUUAUAUAUAGAGAGAAAGGGUCUGUGGACAAUCUUUGAAUGAGUGGUGAAGACACACUAUCCGUUUGCUACAUGAAAUGAGUGGCGAAGAUGCACACCAGCGAGAGACAGUAGCUUGUGAAAAAUCAAGAGAUCACAUGUGUAUGUCUUGCCGUUGAUGAAGUCUACUGUAGAAACAUCCUUCCCUACCUCAUUGCACGAGAGACACGGAGUGGACCUUCAUAAAUGGAUUUUCUAUAUAAGAAAAUAACUUCAGAUGUGGAUUUCUACCCAGCACUGAUAAUUGGAGUUGCUCUACAGACAAGAAUAUGUGGUACUAUAUUAACAGUUCUAUAUGUGGUUAGAUAUAAAUGAUGCUAUGUACUGGGAACAAGAAAGUUAGGUUAGCAUGUGGCUUUGUUGUUUCAUCUAUGUCUCCAGUGUCAACAAGCUGGGGAAGUGUUUCAAUUUUUGAUCUGUCUAGAAAAUUAAAUAGACUGCCAACCAUGACCUGA